GGAAAUGCGAUACGUGGUGUGAAUUGCAGAAUCCCGUGAACCAUCGAGUCUUUGAACGCAAGUUGCGCCCAAGGGACCCUCCCGAGGGCACGCCUGCCUCAUGGGCGUUAGAAGCCCAUCCACGCUCUCUUGCCUAACUAAGGGCAGAGGCGCGGACAUUGGCCCUCCGAACCGCGAGGCGCGGUGGGCCUAAGUGUGCGGCCGUCGUACGUGGCCGGGAGCGGCGAGUGGUGGGCUACUGCGCACGUCACCCCGAGCCCCGUGCCGACGCAGGGCCUUGUUUGAUCCCCUAACGAGGAGCGUGCCGCUGCGGCUUCUGCUGCGCGGUGCCUUCGGACCGAUACCCCAGGUCAGGCGGGGCU
rnacentral:rRNA from 1 species